rnacentral:rRNA from 1 species
AUUGAACGCUGGCGGCAGGCCUAACACAUGCAAGUCGAGCGGAUGAAGAGAGCUUGCUCUCUGAUUUAGCGGCGGACGGGUGAGUAAUGCCUAGGAAUCUGCCUGGUAGUGGGGGAUAACGUUCCGAAAGGAACGCUAAUACCGCAUACGUCCUACGGGAGAAAGCAGGGGACCUUCGGGCCUUGCGCUAUCAGAUGAGCCUAGGUCGGAUUAGCUAGUUGGUGAGGUAAUGGCUCACCAAGGCUACGAUCCGUAACUGGUCUGAGAGGAUGAUCAGUCACACUGGAACUGAGACACGGUCCAGACUCCUACGGGAGGCAGCAGUGGGGAAUAUUGGACAAUGGGCGAAAGCCUGAUCCAGCCAUGCCGCGUGUGUGAAGAAGGUCUUCGGAUUGUAAAGCACUUUAAGUUGGGAGGAAGGGCAGUAAGUUAAUACCUUGCUGUUUUGACGUUACCGACAGAAUAAGCACCGGCUAACUUCGUGCCAGCCGCCGCGGUAACAC